rnacentral:rRNA from 1 species
CCCAGACUCCUACGGGAGGCAGCAGUGGGGAAUAUUGGACAAUGGGGGGAACCCUGAUCCAGCGACGCCGCGUGAGUGAAGAAGUAUUUCGGUAUGUAAAGCUCUAUCAGCAGGGAAGAAGAAAUGACGGUACCUGACUAAGAAGCCCCGGCUAACUACGUGCCAGCAGCCGCGGUAAUACGUAGGGGGCAAGCGUUAUCCGGAUUUACUGGGUGUAAAGGGAGCGUAGACGGUGCAGCAAGUCUGGAGUGAAAGGCAGGGGCUUAACCCCUGAACUGCUUUGGAAACUGCCAUGCUAGAGUGCUGGAGAGGUAAGUGGAAUUCCUAGUGUAGCGGUGAAAUGCGUAGAUAUUAGGAGGAACACCAGUGGCGAAGGCGGCUUACUGGACAGUAACUGACGUUGAGGCUCGAAAGCGUGGGGAGCAAACAGGAUUAGAUACCCGUGUAAU